AGAGUUUGAUCAUGGCUCAGAUUGAACGCUGGCGGCAGGCCUAACACAUGCAAGUCGAACGGUAACAGGAAGAAGCUUGCUUCUUUGCUGACGAGUGGCGGACGGGUGAGUAAUGUCUGGGAAACUGCCUGAUGGAGGGGGAUAACUACUGGAAACGGUAGCUAAUACCGCAUAACGUCGCAAGACCAAAGAGGGGGACCUUCGGGCCUCUUGCCAUCGGAUGUGCCCAGAUGGGAUUAGCUUGUUGGUGGGGUAACGGCUCACCAAGGCGACGAUCCCUAGCUGGUCUGAGAGGAUGACCAGCCACACUGGAACUGAGACACGGUCCAGACUCCUACGGGAGGCAGCAGUGGGGAAUAUUGCACAAUGGGCGCAAGCCUGAUGCAGCGACGCCGCGUGAGGGAUGGAGGCCUUCGGGUUGUAAACCUCUUUUAUCGGGGAGCAAGCGAGAGUGAGUUUACCCGUUGAAUAAGCACCGGCUAACUACGUGCCAGCAGCCGCGGUAAUACGUAGGGUGCAAGCGUUAUCCGGAAUUAUUGGGCGUAAAGGGCUCGUAGGCGGUUCGUCGCGUCCGGUGUGAAAGUCCAUCGCUUAACGGUGGAUCCGCGCCGGGUACGGGCGGGCUUGAGUGCGGUAGGGGAGACUGGAAUUCCCGGUGUAACGGUGGAAUGUGUAGAUAUCGGGAAGAACACCAAUGGCGAAGGCAGGUCUCUGGGCCGUUACUGACGCUGAGGAGCGAAAGCGUGGGGAGCGAACAGGAUUAGAUACCCUGGUAGUCCACGCCGUAAACGGUGGAUGCUGGAUGUGGGGCCCGUUCCACGGGUUCCGUGUCGGAGCUAACGCGUUAAGCAUCCCGCCUGGGGAGUACGGCCGCAAGGCUAAAACUCAAAGAAAUUGACGGGGGCCCGCACAAGCGGCGGAGCAUGCGGAUUAAUUCGAUGCAACGCGAAGAACCUUACCUGGGCUUGACAUGUUCCCGACAGCCCCAGAGAUGGGGCCUCCCUUCGGGGCGGGUUCACAGGUGGUGCAUGGUCGUCGUCAGCUCGUGUCGUGAGAUGUUGGGUUAAGUCCCGCAACGAGCGCAACCCU
rnacentral:rRNA from 1 species